AUGUUAUACGCACCCUCCCUCUCCUAUAAGAGCGACUGCAAUGAAGUGUUUUGCAUACAGAAAAUCCAGAGAUUCAUAGAUUCAUAGCCAUCAGAAAACCACCAGAAACUCUAUGGAGAAAAAACCUUCAGUGAAGUUAGCUUCAUUGCUCCUUCUGUUGGCUACUAUGACUUGUAUGGCAUUGUGGAGGAUGCCAGUGGCUGAAGCAAGGGGGGAGUUACAGUGUCCUCGUAUGAUAGACUGCAGUUCUGUAUGUCAAGGAUAUCCCUGGCGCUGCGUCGAUGGCAAAUGCAUAUGCGACAAAAAUCCUCCCCAGGCCAAGGUGAAGGCAACUAUGGACUAAAUGAAGUUGAAUUGCCAUGAAUAAAAGGAUAUCAUCGAUGUAUAAAGUUGAAUAAAUAAAAGCAGCAACACCCUUUCUAUCAUUAA